GAUAAAGCAGGUGGAAGAAACACAAUCUGGCCGCCUAGAGGCUGCGUGAAGCUCGUGACCCUGCGGGGUGACUAACGGAGCUCAGCUGGGUGGGACCAGAAACCACGUCUGGGCACUCCUGAGUCACAGGCUCAGAAGCUUUCGCCUCCGCCUUCAGACUGGCCCUCAGGCUUCCCUGCUCAGAGGCAGGGAAUUGUGCAGCUGGAGUUUCAUUUUCCAAGAGGCAGGGUCUCAGUCUGUCACCCAGGCUGGAGUACAGUGGCACCAUCUUGGCUCACUCUAGCCUCGACCUCCUGGGCUCAAGUGAGCCUCCUACCUCAGUCUCCCAAAAUGCUGGGAUUACAAGCAUGAACCACUGUGACUUGCCUUCUUGGCAAUUUUAAAUGAAAGAAGAAGAUGGAAUAAUGCCUACUGAGGACUAUGUUUGAGGGGUGUUGUAUGACCCCGUUUUCCAUACCCAGCCAACUUGUCAUGUGACAAGUCCACAGAAAGAUGUUAUAUGACAGGAAUCUAUGAACUAGUCUUCCCUGAAAUGUACCUGACUACAGCUAACAUCAUAUCACAUGAUGAAAGACCGCGUUGUUUUCCCCUGAGGUUGGCACUGCAGCUGUGGGUGAUUCGGAUGGUCUGUUGGUGGAAUGUGGAGCUGGACGGGUCAAGGAGCACAGUGUGGAAAGAGGGACAAUUUGCUACAAGUUGGAGAUAAGAGACAUGGCAUACUGUGAAACCAGUGCUGACGGAAGAAGGUGACUUUCUUGGAAGGUCAAGACACUUGCUUGACAGCGAUGUCCAGGAGGGCUAGGGAGAGUUCUGCUGGAAGUGAAGGCAGCACCUGAGGGUGGCUGAGGGAACUGGUCAGGGCUGGGAACGCCUCCAGCCCUUUGAGGAAUGAUUCGCUGAUUAAGAGAUGUUUGGCCUUGAAAAUUGCAAGAAUGAAAUCUCUUGGUGGGAAUGUGUAGCCAAAAGCCAGCACCCUGAGUGGCUCCAAGGUUUGGGGACCCUCUCAAGGCACAAAUCCCAGUUCCUUUUCAAUUUUGAAAAUCGUUGUGGGCGAUUCUGGAAUUGAGAAGUGUGCUGAGAGCCAUGGAUUUAACAUGACAAGAAUUUCCGCCCCUUCGUCACUGAGCACACCGCAAAUGCUCCAGGGCCAGGGACUUACUUGGGCUUCUGCGUGUCUUCCACAGUGUGCAUCAAUCCGCCGGGCUCUGGUUGGUGUUUAAAAAAAAAGAUGCAGCGAAGGAAUCUGGUGUGGACAAACGCCCUGGGCAUGGACCAAAAGCCUGGCCCUUGUGUCCCUGGCAAUGGGACGGUGAAGGACAGAAAGACAGCACAUCCAGUAGUGUCAGGAGCUUGGAGCAGGCAUUCGGAAGCAUCUGUUAAAUGUUAUUGAUGGAGGAUUGACAUAACCCACAUCUGCAUAGCUUUUUUGGUCUGUUUUUGGAAGUGAACAGUCACAAACAAAAACAACUUUGGUUCAGGUCAUUUAUAGGCCCAGAUCCUCUAUCCUUAGAGGUUUCCCACCAGAUAUACUAUUUCACUAUCUAUGCCAGGAAAGUUACGUAAAACCACGCAGAAUUUUACCUGACAACGAAAUAGACCUUUUCGUUAGAUCCUCCACCCCACCUAAAGCAGUUACACAGGCUGAAAUGAAACUGUUAAAGGAAUGAACUAACUUGGAGAUAGAAUCAUCGCCUUUGCUGAACACCAUUUUAAGAAUAUUGGAAUAUAUAGGGGUACCAGCAUAAUAGUAAAAUGUGCCCAUAUUAUCUAUAAUUUUAUGCUGGGCACUUUUUAGAAAUUAUUUUUUAUAACUUUGUCUUUGAGAUGAUUUGGCUACAAGUUCAUUACAUUUAGUUUACAACUGGCUUUGAUUUCUUGGCAUUCGUUGUGUAUUAUUAGGAAACCCCGCAGAGAGAAAAUGUAAACUCCAAAUUGCUUUAAAAUAUUAUGAUAGUUUUUAGGGAUAUUACACUGUGACAGUGAAUGAAAUGGACGUAACGUUCUGUUUUGUAGAUAUUUUGUGAAAUCUUUAUUAGUCUUGAUUUUCUUUGGAACAAGUCAUUCCUGUUCUGGGCUGAAGCCUGAAAAUUCCCUGACCUGUGACCCUGGCCCAAGGCUCCUCUUGGAUAAAACAGUGUUUCCUGGACCAGAGGGCAAAGUCACAGAAACAUGAUGUGACGAAAUCUAAAUAGAAAGGUAUUGAUUUGUUCUUCGUUCAUCAAAUAGUUAUUGGACUCCAGCACGUAUGAGUAGCAGGGAGCCUGGCUAGCACUACACCUUCCCCUCCUGCCUCUCAGGGUCAGGGCCACAGGCACACACAGAGCGAGGGAAAAUGAGGGGGUAGAGAGGCUGGUCCCGAGUCUCCAGCCCUUCUCUCCCAAUCCUCUCCCUGAGUGGGCAGGGAACUCUUCUCUUGGCUCCUCCAACUUCCAUCAACGUCUGCCCUUGGGUCUGGUUUUAAACUCUAAGGUGUAAAUGACUCAUAAUGGCUCAACAUUUUGUCCCUCCCAAGAGGUAUUUUUAAGUCUAAGGAAUAAAGAUUUAAUAGUAAAACUUCGAAUGCCAAUCAGGGGUAAGUGAGGAUUUGGAAGAGGAAGGUCUUGAGCAUUUUCCUAACACUGCUAAAAUCAUCCCAUUGAGUUAGGGCAGCAACUAUCCUGAUGGGCUGGGUAUGAUGGAAGUUAGUCAAUGUUUCAAUAGAUGGAUGGAUGGAUGGAUGGAUGGAUGGAUGGAUAGACUGACGGAUGGAUGGAUGGAUGGAUGGAUGGAUGGAUGGAUAGACGGAUGGAUGGAUGGAUGGAUGGAUGGAUGGAUGGAUGGAUAGAUGGAUGGAUACAUAGAUCACCUUUAUUCUGAUCUCAACUGGUCUUUGAAGCUUGAUUCAUUUUUUGAUUUCUCACGGAGCCAGACUAGGGUCUGACACAUUAGGAAGCUGGCAAAAGUUUGUUGACUAAACAAAUUAAUGAAGGGAAAAUUAUGUAUGCAGAGAUGCCUGGGGUUUGGGUUACCGUUUUGGGUCCCCUUUGAUUUGAGCGACACACAUGCUGACAACUUGAGUCUGAAGUUAGUGGAUCCUUAGCUAACUUGCUAGAGUAAAGGUUGUGGUAAAACUUGACCUUGCUCUAUUCAUCAACAGCAUAUCCUGUGAAAGUCACGACGCUUCCAUGAAAACCUUGGUGCUAGGCCUGUGAUAUCUUUGCAGAGGUCUGACCUAAGGAGACUGCUUGUGUCAAUAGUAACAACAAUCACAAUUGUCCUGAACACAAAGGCAGCAUUCUUUGUGUGCUAGCUGUGGUUUUAAGCAUAUUACGUCUAUUUACUAAUUUAAUCCUGAAACAGCCUUUGCUUUAGGUACUCCUAUUAACCUCAUUUUAUGGAUGGGAAAAUAGACUGUGAGAAGUGAAGUCACCCGCCCAAGGUCAUACACCUGUAAGUGGUGGAGGCAGGGUUUGAACCGAGCACACUGGCCUCACUUCGUGGGCUCCUACCACUACGCUGCCUCAUGUUACUACCCUGUAUCCACCUCCAGAAUGAGUUGGCAGCUGCAAGUUCUCCCCAAGGCCCCACUGCAGCCCUUGCAUCUCAGCAUCAGCUCCUUGCACGGCCAGGUGGUGUUGUUUCUGACUCGGGGUCUGCAUCUCUCUCUGCGCCGCUGGGUUCAGGAGGCCCUGAGGAGCGAGCCCGGUCCAGUGCUAGCUUCGCAGCUCACAGCCCUUGGGCAAAUGUUACAACUGGAGGGCUGCACAAAUGCAUCAUGUGGUUUCAAACCAUGCGUCUCUCUGAGCAGGAAUUGCUGGAAUGGGCCUCAGAAAGUUCCUGACCCUUUGUCUGGGGUCACAGGGUCUGUGUCCAGUGAGGCCUAGAGGCCACGUGAGGUCCAGAGAGAGAAGCACAAGGCAGCUGCUGAGGCCUCAUAGGAACCAUGCGGUGAAGGAACCAGGGUUUCUUCUUUCUCCAUGGCAACUAGGAGUGCAGGUCAGCCUCGGAAAAGGAUCCUCCAUCUUUGGUUAAAAGAACG
rnacentral:lncRNA from 1 species